GAUGAACGCUGGCGGCGUGCCUAAUACAUGCAAGUCGAGCGAACAGACGAGGAGCUUGCUCCUCUGACGUUAGCGGCGGACGGGUGAGUAACACGUGGAUAACCUACCUAUAAGACUGGUAUAACUUCGGGAAACCGGAGCUAAUACCGGAUAAUAUAUUGAACCGCAUGGUUCAAUAGUGAAAGACGGUUUUGCUGUCACUUAUAGAUGGAUCUGCGCCGCAUUAGCUAGUUGGUAAGGUAACGGCUUACCAAGGCAACGAUGCGUAGCCGACCUGAGAGGUGGAUCGGCCACACUGGAACGGGGACACGGUCCAGGCGCCUGAGGGAGGCAGCAGAAGGGAAUCUGCCGCAAUGGGCGAAAGCCUGACGGAACGGCGCGACGUGAGUGAUAAAAGUCUUCGGAUCGUAAAGCUCUGUUAUGGGGUAAAAACAAAUGUGUAAGUAACUAUACCCGUCUUGACGGUACCUAAUAAAAAAGCAACGGCUAACUACGUG
rnacentral:rRNA from 1 species